UACCUACCCUUGACAUGCCAGGAACCUCGCAGAGAUGUGAGGGUGCCCGAAAGGGAACCUGGACACAGGUGCUGCAUGGCUGUCGUCAGCUCGUGUCGUGAGAUGUUGGGUUAAGUCCCGCAACGAGCGCAACCCUUGCCAUUAGUUGCCACAUUCAGUUGGGCACUCUAAUGGGACUGCCGGUGACAAACCGGAGGAAGGUGGGGAUGACGUCAAGUCCUCAUGGCCCUUAUGGGUAGGGCUUCACACGUAAUACAAUGGCGCAUACAGAGGGCUGCAAACCCGCGAGGGGGAGCCAAUCCCAAAAAGUGCGUCGUAGUCCGGAUUGUUCUCUGCAACUCGAGAGCAUGAAGUCGGAAUCGCUAGUAAUCGCGGAUCAGCAUGUCGCGGUGAAUACGUUCCCGGGUCUUGUACACACGC
rnacentral:rRNA from 1 species